rnacentral:rRNA from 1 species
UACGUAGGGGCAAGCGUUGUCCGGAAUCAUUGGGCGUAAAGCGCGUGUAGGCGGUUCAGUAAGUCUGCUGUGAAAGUCCAGGGCUCAACCCUGGGAUGCCGGUGGAUACUGCUGGGCUAGAGUACGGAAGAGGCGAGUGGAAUUCCCGGUGUAGCGGUGAAAUGCGCAGAUAUCGGGAGGAACACCAAUUGCGAAGGCAGCUCGCUGGGACGUUACUGACGCUGAGACGCGAAAGCGUGGGGAGCAAACAGG